rnacentral:rRNA from 1 species
AGCGAACGUUAGCGGCGCGCCUAACACAUGCAAGUCGCACGAGAAAGGGGGCAACCCCCGGUACAGUGGCGCACGGGUGAGUAACACGUGGAUUACCUGGCCCUGGAGUGGUGGAUAACCUGCCGAAAGGUGGGCUAAUACAGCAUGAGACCACGCGGUUUCGAUCGUGAGGUCAACGCGGGCUUCUGUUCACAAGCUCGCGCUCUAGGAUGGGUCCGCGGCCCAUCAGCUAGUGUAGGGUAACGGCCUACCAAGGCAACGACGGGUAGCUGGUCUGAGAGGAUGGCCAGCCACACUGGAACUGAGACACGGUCCAGACUCCUACGGGAGGCAGCAGUGGGAAUC